rnacentral:rRNA from 1 species
CCAAAUAGCCAUACCACCCUGAACGCGCCCGAUCUCGUCUGAUCUCGGAAGCUAAGCAGGGUCGGGCCUGGUUAGUACUUGGAUGGGAGAAAAACUGUAUUUACC